UACGUAGGGGGCAAGCGUUGUCCGGAUUUAUUGGGCGUAAAGAGCGUGUAGGCGGCCAGGUAGGUCCGCUGUGAAAACUCGAGGCUCAACCUCGAGAUGUCGGCGGAAACCAUCUGGCUAGAGUCCGGAAGAGGAGAGUGGAAUUCCUGGUGUAGCGGUGAAAUGCGUAGAGAUCAUGAGGAAGACCAGUGGCGAAGGCGGGUCUCUGGACAGUUCCUGACACUGAGACACGAAGGCCAGGGGAGCAAACGGG
rnacentral:rRNA from 1 species